CCAUCGGUGGUUCAGUGGUAGAAUGCUCGCCUGCCACGUGGGCAGCCCGGGUUCGAUUCCCGGCCGAUGCU